AUUUUACAACCUAACCAGAUUAUUCAAUGUAUGAUCAAUGAAAUUAUUUGAAUUAAAACCAUAUUAUAUCCCCUACUCUAAGUUGGAAAGGUAUAAUAUUUAAGAUAAUUUAGUUUGUAUACUGUAUUAAACAAAUCAUUACAAACAAAAAAUUAUUCUUAGUUAAAUUCAGUUAAACAUAAUUUUUGAUACAUUUAAAUUGAAAAUUUUACUAACUACAAAAUAAAUUACUG